GACGAACGCUGGCGGCGUGCUUAACACAUGCAAGUCGAACGGAAAGGCCCUGCUCUUGCGGGGUGCUCGAGUGGCGAAAGGGUGAGUAACACGUGAGUAAACCGCCCUCGACAUUGGGAUAACUUCAGGAAACUGGGGCUCAUACCGGACAGGAGCUUUCGCUGCAUGGUGGGGGUUGGAAAGAUUCGGCGGUAGGGGAUGGACUCGCGGCUUAUCAGCUUGUUGGUGGGGUAGUGACAUACAAAGGCUCUGACGGGUAGCCGACCUGAGAGGGUGACCGGCGACAUUGGGACUGAGAUACGGCCCAGACUCCUACGGGAGGCAACAGUGGGAAAUAUUGCACAGUGGGCGCGAGCCUGAUGCAGCGGCGCCGCGUGCGGGAUGACGGGCUUCUGGUUAUGAACCGCUGUCGCCUGAGACGAUGCGUGAGUGACGGUAAUGAGUAAGGAAGCACCGGCUAACUACGUG
rnacentral:rRNA from 1 species